GAAAAAGUAUUUUUUGUAGGAUUCAAUUGUUGCAAGUCCAUCAUUGAAGUUAUGGUGGUGAUGCAAAACUAUCCAAAUAUGAUUCUUCCAUCUUUUUCGAACAACAUUCAAAGGCGGGGAUUUGCAACCUUUGUACAGUUAAAUAUAGUUCUACAGGCAUCCAAAUACAAUCCUAAAUUUACAUGCAGUUGAAACUUUCACCAGAACGCAGCCAAAAUCUUUUGAAAAAUUUGUUUGUAUUUAUCAUCUUGGGCGGACACAGUUUAAGCGUUUUUUGAGCGGUCAAGAUCUGUAAGCCACGAUUUAUUAAACCCUUAUCCUUAAAACCAUUAGGAUUUUGCGGCUAUUGGUGAGUUUGAGAGAAAUUUUUCUACACAACGCCAUAAAGACCCGAAAAACGCACUUGAUAUAUUUUUUUUGUAAACUCAAGCGCUCUAAAUUCCUAUGCAUAUAGAGGAGCUUCUGAGGUUGAAAGCUCUUAAAAUAUAUCUGGAGAAGGGAGAUUUUCUGGACAAAGGUCUUGUUUACAAUGUUUCCAAAACUCGAUUCCCUUAAAAUGCCUCGAAUUACCGGAAUCCUCAGGAGCUCAUUGAAAACCACGUUUUUCAAUUGUUGACUCAUUUGUUUGGUUAUUCAUCUGGCGACUUCAGCCAACAAAACCGUUGUCUUCUCAAACACUUUAUGUGCAUGUCCAGCCAAUCUGAUUUUACGGCAAUAUCAAUCAAGGCUUUUUGCGCAAGGAGAAACAUUAAUUUUAGUUUAGGUGUAAUUUUCGAGCAAUUUCGUAGAAAACUUUGGCGUUAUCUAAUAAGAUAACAUUAAUCUGUUUUUCCUAACUUAUAUUCGUCAUUUUCCAAAAAUAAUCUCUGGUCUUAAGUUGAUGCAGUAUUUGACUUCAUGAUGUGUUGAAAUUGCCCCACUGGACUAAUAAAUGAAAAUAAUUUCAGUUUUCCCAGUAACAAUGACCCGGAGAAAUUGUCUUGCCACCUUAAAUUAGUAACAUAUUUAAAAAGCGAUUAUUACCAGUUUAAUCACCUGUAUAAGUGUGUGCCGUGUCAGCAAACAUUAUAGCUGAUAGCGAACAAUAAAGUAAAUACGUACCUAGUCGUGUUCGAGCUUUUAUCUGAACCGAUCCCUAGUACAAUUAAAUUAAAACAAAGUACAAAUCAGGUGAAAUGCAACUGUAGAGAAACUCCUGCCAAGGCUAGUGAAACUAUGAAAAAAGCUCAAGUGUGGUUGGUAGUUCUACUACUGGGAAUUUUACUUCUGGAUUAUGUGCAUUGUACAUUUAUGAACUACACGAGCUUCUUGAAAGCUGAUGAAACCAAACAGGGACAUCUUUUUUACAGCCAGAACUGUGCCGAGUGUUACCUAUACAAAGCGGGACGAUGUAUUCGUAUUUUUGGAUGCAAGCGGUAAGACGUCCCAGUUCAAAAACUGGUACGUCCAAAUAUCUCCACUUCAUCAGAAAUGUCCGAUAAUCCAACUGCAUGAGAUGUCCAAAAAAUAUCAACUAGAAGCCUUGCUGCUGCUUAAUAUUAAUUAAUUUAUUGCAUCUUUUGUUCAAAUUAGUGCACGGUUUUACUCAUAAAAUUACCAAUGAAACGCUGUCGAAGCUUCAAAUACAAAAUUUGUGAUACAUAGCUAAGAGUAUGAUUAGAUUAGGUCGCACUAACAAUGUUACGUUUAAGUUUGUUAAGUUACGAGAAGUUAACUAGAAAGUAGGCAGAUAAAAUUUCCCUUGAAGCUCAUGUAAAAGGCGAAAUAUUGGUGUGAAAUUGAGCUUCAAGGGAAUGGAAAACGAACUCAUCAAAGCCUGAAAACGGCCAAUAUAAUUAGGACUUUGAUGAAAUUUAUCAUUCAGCCGAGCCUGUUUAGAAAAAUGUAAGAUAUCUGUUCACCUUCGUCUUCACUACUUACCUGGUAGACAUUAAAACACUUUGUCAUGA